rnacentral:rRNA from 1 species
GAGUGGGGGAUAACGUAGCGAAAGUUGCGCUAAUACCGCAUAUUCUGUGAGCAGGAGAGCAGGGGACCGCAAGGCCUUGCGCUCUUUGAGCGGCCGAUGUCAGAUUAGCUAGUUGGUGAGGUAAAGGCUUACCAAGGCGACGAUCUGUAGCGGGUCUGAGAGGAUGAUCCGCCACACUGGAACUGAGACACGGUCCAGACUCCUACGGGAGGCAGCAGUGGGGAAUUUUGGACAAUGGGGGCAACCCUGAUCCAGCCAUGCCGCGUGAGUGAAGAAGGCCUUCGGGUUGUAAAGCUCUUUCGGCCGGGAAGAAAUCGCAUGGGCCAAUACCCUGUGUGGAUGACGGUACCGGAAUAAGAAGCACCGGCUAACUACGUGCCAGCAGCCGCGGUAAUACGUAGGGUGCGAGCGUUAAUCGGAAUUACUGGGCGUAAAGCGUGCGCAGGCGGUUUUGUAAGACAGGCGUGAAAUCCCCGGGCUUAACCUGGGAACUGCGUUUGUGACUGCAAGGCUAGAGUACGGCAGAGGGGGGAGGAAUUCCACGUGUAGCAGUGAAAUGCGUAGAGAUGUGGAGGAACACCAAUGGCGAAGGCAGCCCCCUGGGUCGAUACUGACGCUCAUGCACGAAAGCGAGGGUAGCAAACAGGAUUAGAUACCCUGGUAGUCCACGCCCUAAACUAUGUCAACUAGGUGUUGGGUGGGUAAAACCAUUUAGUACCGUAGCUAACGCGUGAAGUUGACCGCCUGGGGAGUACGGCCGCAAGGUUAAAACUCAAAGGAAUUGACGGGGACCCGCACAAGCGGUGGAUGAUGUGGAUUAAUUCGAUGCAACGCGAAAAACCUUACCUACCCUUGACAUGCCAGGAACUUGCCAGAGAUGGCUUGGUGCCCGAAAGGGAGCCUGGACACAGGUGCUGCAUGGCUGUCGUCAGCUCGUGUCGUGAGAUGUUGGGUUAAGUCCCGCAACGAGCGCAACCCUUCGUUAAUUGCCAUCAUUUGGUUGGGCACUUUAACGAGACUGCCGGUGACAAACCGGAGGAAGGUGGGGAUGACGUCAAGUCCUCAUGGCCCUUAUGGGUAGGGCUUCACACGUCAUACAAUGGUCGGUACAAAGGGUUGCCAAGCCGCGAGGCGGAGCCAAUCCCAGAAAGCCGAUCGUAGUCCGGAUUGCAGGCUGCAACUCGCCUGCAUGAAGUCGGAAUCGCUAGUAAUCGUGGAUCAGCAUGCCACGGUGAAUACGUUCCCGGGUCUUGUACACACCGCCCGUCACACCAUGGGAGCGGGUUCCGCCAGAAGUGGGUAGCCUAACCGCAAGGAGGGCGCUUACCACGGCGGGGUUCGUGACUGGGGUGAAGUCGUAACAAGGUA